rnacentral:sRNA from 1 species
UAAGGGUUGUUCAUAGAAAUAAAAUGUCUAUUUGAAUUUUACAGGAAGUUGAGGAGUUGUUUACAUUUUUAUGUCAUGACUUAAAACAUGAAAAGUUAGUAUGGAAAUCUUAUGCUCACUUUCUUUUUAAGUCUGGACAAGUGGACAUUGCAAGAAGUGUGUUGCAUCAUGCACUUCUUGAUUUAGAUAAACGUGAUCAUGUCGAAGUGAUCAUCAAAUUUGCAACUCUUGAAUUUUCUUAUGGUGAUAUUGAAAGAGGCUGCACAAUCUUUGAAAAUUUAAUAGCCAGCUACUCAGGUCGAACUGACCUAUGGUCAGUGUAUGUAGAUAUGAUGGUCAAGAGUGGAGAUAUAGCUGGUGCUCGCCAUUUGUUAGAGAGAGCUGUUAAACAGAAGUUUAAUGCUAAGAAACUCUCUUUUCUGCUACAAAAAUUUAAGAGAUUUGAAGAAACCCAUGGCACAGAGGAACAGGUGGAAAAAGUCAAAGAAUUGGCAUCUAGUGUAUUGAAUUAGUUUGUUAUUGAAUAAAAAAAAUAUUUUCUUAAUGUAUUGCUUACCGGUAUUUUAUGUUUUGUUUUUUAAUUGGUUUUAGUGAGUACUCUUGCAUUUUUAAAACCCAAUACAAACAACUCUUUAUCAAGCGCUAAUUUUAAUGUGCACAAGAUGCAAAACAUUUUUGUUAGAGAAGCACAUGGACUCUUAUACAAUGUAGUCAAUAGUAAGCUAAACUACAGUCUAUCAAUAGUGCUCAAGUGGCUAUAAUUAAUCUCCUCAUCACCAGAGUGCAGUAUUUUAUGUAGCUAAAUAUUUUUCUCCACUGUUUCUUUGGGAAGCCUUAAUUUUGUGCUGCAAUGAUUUAUAUAUACUCUGUGCCAGGCAAGCUGUAAAGCAGGAAGGGUUGUCCCUCAGACGCUUUUACUUUAAGUAGUUAAAGCUUGCCCUAAAAAAAAAAAUUGAUUCCCCUUUAGCAUAAAAUUAUAGACUACCUAACCCAAAAGAGCUGCAGAUUGAAUACAUAAACAAAGUAAUAUCUGAGGAUAACAAUAAAAAUCUAUGGUCAUACAUAAAAUCUUUAGAAAAUAGAAAUACCAGGAGUAGCCUUAUGGACUCUGAGUAGCCUAAUUCUAGCCUUUUUUUUUUUGCACCAUCAGAUCAAUUAAAAUCUAAGUAGCAACUGAA